UGCUGCCAUUGCUGCGCGAGGUGACGGCGGAGCGGCUCGAAGCGCUGCUGCGCCAGGCGGUGCCCGCUUCACCGCUGUUCGGGGCGGCGUUCCGGCGGC
rnacentral:tRNA from 1 species